CGCUAUAUAAGUAUCAGUUUCUGUACUUUAUUGCCAAAAAACAACAAAAAUACAACACAAAGAUCAUCAAUGCGCGACGCGCUGCGCACAACACACAUGCAUACACACACCAACGCACACACAUGGAAGGGGAAAUCUUCUUCUGUGUGUUGCGCGUGUUGUGUGUGUGUGUGGUGCGUGCGGCAACUCGACACACAAUUGAGAUCUGGUUGAUUCUGCCAGUAGUCAUAUGCUUGUUUCAAGGACUUAGCCAUGCAU
rnacentral:precursor_RNA from 1 species